UACGGGGGGGGGCAAGCGUUUGUUCGGAAUUACUGGGCGUAAAGGGCUCGUAGGCGGCCAACUAAGUCAGACGUGAAAUCCCUCGGCUUAACCGGGGAACUGCGUCUGAUACUGGAUGGCUUGAGUUCGGGAGAGGGAUGCGGAAUUCCAGGUGUAGCGGUGAAAUGCGUAGAUAUCUGGAGGAACACCGGUGGCGAAGGCGGCAUCCUGGACCGACACUGACGCUGAGGAGCGAAAGCCAGGGGAGCAAAGCGGG
rnacentral:rRNA from 1 species